GGCCGCCUGGCGAAAUGGCAUCGCGUCUGACUACGACGAGGAUCGUCAUCAGGAGAUUGCAGGUUCGACCCCUGCGGUGGUCA